CACGUAGGUGGCGAACGUUAUCCGGAAUUACUGGGCGUAAAGGGUCCGCAGGCGGCGGAGGAGGUCUGGUGUGACAGCCCGUGGCUCAACUACGGGAGGCCACUGGAAACCGCUCCGCUUGAAUCAGGCCGAGGUCGGUGGAAUUCCCGGUGUAGUGGUGGAAUGCGUAGAGAUCGGGAGGAACCUCGAAAGCGAAGGCAGCCGGCUAGGCCCUGAUUGACGCUGAGGGACGAGAGCGUGGGGAGCGAACAGG
rnacentral:rRNA from 2 species